CCGUUAGAAUGUGUUUUAAGUGACAAAACUAUCUCAUUCUCUUUUCUUUUUAGCUUUUCACCUUGGGAAGGAGGUUUCUUUACUUUUUAUUUGAAAAGGAAUUGUUUUUGUUGUUUUCCUAAAGCUGGAGAGUGAAGGAAGCCAUCCUUGAGGAGUCAAGAUAAACUUCGGAUGUAAUGGCCUGGGCUCCCUCUGGGUGGAAUGUUUCACCAGGCGUUGUGAGAAGAGGAGAGCGGGAUUCUGACCCAGGCGCUGCUGCUGGAGGCUCUGUGACACCCGCACAUCGUCACUUAACGUGCAAGGGCUGUCCAUGGUCACUGUCUCUUUACAGUGCAUGAGUGAACGGUCACUGGGUCACAGAAUUCCACUGGGAACGGGAAGAGCCUCUGGAGCAGCACCCACAGUCCUGCCUUCUGUGCUUGGGACCAUCGUGGCUCACUAGUUUCACACUCCUUGACUCGAUAUUCAGCUCCAAUUUUCAUUCUGUUUAACUGAAAGAACUGCGUGGUUCACAGAGACCUGGACGUACAACCGUUAGAAUUAAAUUAGCACGCAAGAGUGCCCUGAUGAUCUUCACAAAGACGCAGAACCCAAGUGCUUUGGAAUUGUUUUAGCACCCGGUUUGGAGCCAAACAGUCUCACAACUCCCAUGAUGACCCAGCUUUUUUUACACCUCUUAAAGUAGCAAUAUGAGUUUUGUCUUC
rnacentral:lncRNA from 1 species